CAAUAGCGUAUAUUAAAGUUGUUGCGGUCAAAAAGCUCGUAGUUGGAUUUCUGUUGAGAGCGACCGGUCCAUACCAUGUAUGCGUAUCUGGCUUGCUCUCGGCAUCCUCUCGAUAGACGUUACUGCGCUUGAUUGCGUGGUGCGGAUCUCGGGACUUCUACUUUGAGGAAAUUAGAGUGUUCACGGCAGGCUUUCGCCAGAAUACAUUAGCAUGGAAUAAUACUAUAGGAUCUUGGUUCUAUUUUGUUGGUUUCUAGAAUUGAGAUAAUGAUUAAUAGGGACAAUUGGGGGCAUUCGUAUCAACACGUCAGAGGUGGAAUUCUUGGAUUGUGUUGCGACGAACUACUGCGAAAGCAUUUGCCAAGGAUGUUUUCAUUGA
rnacentral:rRNA from 1 species